AACUUAAAGGAAUUGACGGGGGCCCGCACAAGCGGUGGAGCACGUGGUUUAAUUCGAAGCAACGCGAAGAACCUUACCAAGACUUGACAUCCCCUGACAGCUGUUGAAAGGCAGUGUCUCUUCGGAGCAGGGAGACAGGUGGUGCAUGGUUGUCGUCAGCUCGUGUCGUGAGAUGUUGGGUUAAGUCCCGCAACGAGCGCAACCCUUAUCCUUAGUUACCAGCACGUAAAGGUGGGGACUCUAGGGAGACCGCCGGGGACGACUCGGAGGAAGGUGGGGACGACGUCAAAUCAUCAUGCCCCUUAUGUCUUGGGCUACACACGUGCUACAAUGGCCGCAACAGAGGGAAGCGAGAGCGCAAGCUGGAGCAAAACCCUAAAAAGCGGUCCCAGUUCGGAUUGUGGGCUGCAACCCGCCCACAUGAAGUCGGAGUUGCUAGUAAUCGCGAAUCAGCAUGUCGCGGUGAAUGCGUUCCCGGGCCUU
rnacentral:rRNA from 1 species